GGGAACGACGCAUGCGCGCAGCGUCCCGCAGGCGGGGACACGCACGAACUAGCGAGCGAGCUAAGCGUUACGGGCGUAGGAGCAGGAGCGCACGGGGCGGCGCAGCCAAGUUGCAGGCGGCGGCGGCGGCGAGGUGAGUGCUUGUGGCGGGUUGGGAGCUUUUGGAGACUUCUGUUUUUCCAUAGACCAGGCACAGCACGAGGGUGGUAACGCUUCUGUGAACAGCUCGGCUCCUGAGCACUCCCUCCUACAGACAACAGCAAAGAAAGAAGGAUGUUUGGUUUUCACAAACCGAAGAUGUACCGAAGUAUAGAGGGCUGCUGUAUUUGCAGGGCUAAGUCUUCCAGUUCUCGUUUCACUGACAGUAAACGUUAUGAAAAGGAUUUCCAGAACUGCUUUGGGCUCCAUGAGGCCCGGUCAGGAGACAUCUGCAAUGCAUGUGUUCUUUUGGUGAAAAGAUGGAAAAAACUGCCAGCAGGAUCAAAAAAAAACUGGAAUCAUGUGGUGGAUGCAAGGGCUGGACCCAGUCUUAAAACAACACUGAAACCAAAGAAAAUGAAAACUCUCUCUGGAAGCAGAAUGAAGAGCAAUCAAAUCAGCAAACUGCAAAAGGAAUUCAAACGGCACAACUCUGAUGCCCACAGCACCACUUCAAGUGCCUCUCCAGCGCAAUCUCCCUGUUACAGUAACCAGUCUGAUGAUGGCUCUGACACAGAGAUGAGCCCAGGGUCCAGCAGAACACCAAUCUUCUCCUUUUUAGAUCUCACCUACUGGAAAAGGCAAAAAGUCUGCUGUGGAAUUAUUUACAAAGGACGCUUUGGAGAAGUCCUUAUAGACACUCAUCUCUUCAAACCAUGCUGUAGCAAUAAGAAGUCAGCCACUGAGAAGCCAGAACCACAGGGACCCCAAUCUCCAGCCAUCUCCAAUCAGGAGGAAUGGUGACUUCCUCAGCUAAUAGCAAAAAGGUGUAUAUGGAACCUUUUUUAUUCUCUGGAAGAUGCUAGAAAAUUACCCUCUCUUCACUUUGGACACCUGCUAUGCUGCCAAAAGACCAUUCCUUAGGACUGUUUUCAGUUUUACUGCUACAAUUCCACAGACUCUAAAACCAGUUUGCAUCUUUUUUUCCUGGAAAAAAAAAAAUGUACAUAAUAUUUAAGAUGCUAUGGAACACUUAGCAAAGCUGAAUGCUGCUGCAAGGCCAUCCCUUAAGUCAUUCUUCCCCCCCCACGCCCCUGACAUGACUGAACUUGAAGAUGGGUUUUGCUGUAUAAUAAAAUGACUACUUGAGUUCUGCCUAGAAAUGAGGUUUGCAGGCACAAUGGUUAAACCAGAUCAGGCAAUGCGAGGUUCAUUGUAAGCAAUUUUGUGCAAGAAAAGACUGACAGGUAAUUCUUUUUCCUGAAAUUAGAGAAACUCAAACUUUGGAAGAGGAGUUGAAGUAUAGAGAAGGAGUACUGUGUACUUUCUGUUUGUUUUCACCUGCUCAGGAAUUACCAGUAAAUAUGAACUGCUUUCAUUUCUAAUCCUUGAAGAUGAUGCUGUUUGGGUGACCUUCACUAAAUUCAUUGUGAUCUCAAGGCACCAGGAACAAAACAUUUUAUUGUGUAGUAUUAAGAAGCAGGUUGCCUGGUGGAGUUGUCUGGACAAGGAAAGAGGCCACUUCAGUGAUUAAAAAAUCAGGGAGAUAAGAUUGCAGUAAAGCUGCUGAGCAUGUUUUUCAAAUGAAGGGUGAAGGGAAUGAGACUUCAUGCCAGACUGCUAGUCUUAGUAAAUGUUUUAGGCCAUCACCAUGAUUAAGGAAAACCCUAGUACAACAUCAUUGAGUACAAGAGGUAAAUAAAAACCACUCAGAAAAAAGCUUGCCUACCUUUUUUUGUUGUUUUGUUUUUGUGUUUUCUCUCUGCGUGGGUAGUGAUUUAUGUGGCUGUUAAGGCAUCUCCUGAGGGUAGGGAAGAAUCAAAACUUAAGGGUCCCUAAUACACUAACCUCUUGCAGGGGUUUGGGCCAUUUUGUAUGGGUAUCAGGUUAUUGUAAAGAGAGAUAGAAAGCCCUAGUACUUGAUCAAAACGCUCUUAUACAGCAAAAAUAGCAACACAUGACAAGAAUGGAAAGGAUUCAACAUCUGUACCAAAAGGUAUCCUGGAAUAUACCUAGGCAAAUGCAGGUUUCCAGAUAAUUGAUGCAUGAAAUAAGUAUCUAAUCACCAGUAUGAUUGGGUGCUCUUCAUUAUUUUUUUUUUUUUUUCUUUCUCUGCAAGAAGUCACAAGCCCACUGUGCUUUGCCAUUGUCACUUUAUUUUCAUGGAUUCAUAGAUGUUAAAGGUCAGAAGGCACCAUUGUAAUCAUUCAAUCUAGUCUCCUGCCUAACGAACCACAGAACUUCACUGAGUAAUUUCUACUUUAAGCCCAUAACUUCUAUGAACUUUUAUUGGAAUGGAUAAAUCAGGUUGGCCUCAAACAUGUAAUUCUCUGGUGCCAAGGGAUAGAUGUUCCCUUUAGCUGUGAGAACUAAUCAGGUUCAUAAGGAUGCUUACCUGCUUGGAAGUAAAUUGAUAACGUACUGGUGGAACAGAAAAUUAGUUGGCUGAGGAACAACAAUAUAUGGGGGGACAGAGCUUGAAUAACCACUGUGUAUUUCUAUUGCUUGUUAUUCCCAGUAGCCCUGAAGAGCCAAUGCAGCUGAGAUUGAGUGGCCUGAGGCUUUUACCUUAUGCUUCAACCGUAAGGCUACCCAUCAAGUUCCAAUCCAUCACAACUAUGUAAACCUACUAAUAGCAAUGGGGUUCCAUAGGAAAGCAUAAUUUAUAGACAACACAGUUGCAAAGUUGUCAUUUGGGGAUGCAGAGCCUUUGUUAUUAGGAAGAGGAGAGAAUCCAUCUUCUUUAAGAGCUCAGGGUGAAUUUGCUGUGUUUGUAGCUAGUAAUCUAUUUUAACUGCCAAUUGAGCAUUUUAAGCAUGUCAUUAUGGAACACUGAAAACAAACCCACAAUGCUAUGCUGCAGCAUAGUUCUUUCAGAGCUGGACUGCACUAUAACGGUGUUGUGACAAUCUAUAUAUAGGUGCAGCUUGAAAGCUUAUUACUCCCUCUGUCCUUUAACAUGGUUCUGUUGGUCUUUUAUCUUUGAGUUCUGGUAAUGGCCACAAGGUGGUGCUGUUCUCACAGGAUAGCCAAAAUUCUUUACACCCCCCCCCCCCCCCAAUUUCUGCAAGCUUUUUGAAAAAUAACUGGGCCUUUCUCAAGUGAUGCACAGAAAAGAGCAAAGUUGUUCUUUCCCGUAAAAGUGUGCGACACAAACAGUUGAUAUCAGGGUUUCUUGAGCAAAUUGUUUCUACAUGCAACGCAGAAAAACAUAUCGGGUAUUCUCAGGUAGAAAUAGGGAACUAAAGUGUUUGGGGGGGGGGGUCGUUUGUUUGUUUUGUUUUUUUUAUGCGCGCGCACAUGCAUAUUCCCAAACAUCCUGCCUUCCCAAAAGACACACAUGGUAUAUUUUGGAAACAUGCUUUAGAGAGAAGCAACCUUUUUAAAUGUUUUUUCUGGGUCAUGACUCAUUCACUCUUAGGACUUUGGCAAAAGCUGAAUCAUCUAUUGAAUAUUGAGUAAUGUGUUUUACUUUGAGCCAGCAAGAAAUAAAACAUUCCUUUUUUAUUUCCGUGCUUGUUCCCUGGACUCAGUGCCUCCCAAGGAAACAAAUGGAGUAGAGCAAGAAAGGUUGCUGAGGACCCAGUGGCCAAAGUGGAGAACUUGGCAGGUAUUCUACCUCUCUUACUCCUUGAAUGCAAAGAAAAGCCUCAGUUACUGAACCAUCAGUUUCACAAGUGAUUUUACUGUCGGAUGUUUUCUGAUGAAUCACCAUCAACCUUGACUGUCUUGGAAGUGUUCUUCUAUUAUCUUACACCAAUAGGACAAUUCUUAUCAAUUUAGUUUUGAAAGCUACUAAAUUACUCCUAGGCAGAAACAUUUUUAAAGGUUUUAAUUUACAAUUUAUUAAAGUAAACAUAUUCAUCUCUACAAACAAUAUUGUAGAGCCUAGGAGCUUGUCUACAUGGGAACAUUUUUUUGUUUUAUAACCUAAAAUGUGCGUUUAAAUGGAUGAAGUUAUGUUAUACUAUACCAUAUGUGGCUGUGUUAUGACAAUAAUGGUUUAAAUUCACCUUGGAUGUAGAAACAUGUUCUGAUAUAAGCGUACCUUUUCCAGUUUAGCUUAUGUCUCUUGAGAGAGGAUUUAAGCUGAACUGAGAAAGCUAUUUACACUCAAAUAGGAAUAUGGUGCUUUAUAUUUGUUUAAUGACAUAUUUAUGACUAAUAAUGCUUUCCCAUAUAAAAAAGUCUCAGAUCUGGGCUUAAGGCCCAUUUACACCAUUUUGGGGCCUGGACAAAGGUUUACUGGGAGCAGAUUCAAAAGGGGAGGGCAGUAGCAUAACUGAAGGGAGUGGGCAGCAACCAUGACAGCAGCUCUGGAUGCCACCUUUGUGUGGGGAAUGCAAAAACAGCCAGCACUGCAGCUGACUGUUGGCCAUGCCACUGCCACUACUAACACAGCAGCCAGCACUGCCCUGUGCACCAAAGCUGCCCAGGGUGAGAGCUGUCCUGUUACUCAUUUGGAGGAGGGGGAGGUACUGCUUGAGAGCCCCCAGCAGCUGUUACACUAUAAGUUAGGGGUGGGCAAUUGUUUAGGCUGGAGGGCCACUUAAGGAAUUUUGGCCAGGGGUGAGGGACUGGGGAGAUGCUAAUUGGUCCUAUCCAGCCCUCCAGCCAUUGCUGGGAGUCUGAGGAGAGAGGGCUGCACCCUGUGCUGCUCCACUCUGCUGCAGCUGGUGCAGGGCUGUGCUACACAGUGCUCAGACUCCUCCACCUCCCUGCAUAUGUCCUUGCCCCCACCCCCAGCUUACUGUUGGUGCUGCAGCUGCACAGUCCUGGCACCACAAGUUGCUAGCAGCUGGGUCCACAUGAGAUGGGGCAUGAUGCAGCAUGCUGAGUAGCUGUGCCACCUGCCUGCAGUGAUAAGCCACUGCUGCUGUGCUGCACUGGGAAAGUUGGGGGUGGCUGCUCCAGACCAAGCAUGAACUAAUGGUGCCAUGGCAGCAAUGGCUCAUAACAGCAGCUAGCCAGGCAGGACAGCUGCUUGGCACACUGCAUCACAUGUAGGCUGUCCCAUCUUGGCUUGGCUGCCAGCAGUCACGGUGCCAGGACUGUGCAGCUGCAGUGCUAACAGAGAGCUGGGCCAGGGGGAUGGAUGCAAGCGAGCAAGGGAGUCUGCGCGCUGCCCAGCCUGGCCCCAGCUGCGGCAAAGCGGAGUGGGUCAGCGCAAGUCACAGCUCUCCGUUCUCAAGCUCUCAGAGGCAGCUGGUGGGCCGGAUAGGAUUAACUGACAGGCUCAGUACAGCUCAAUACUGUAUUCUGUCCACCCCUACUCUAACUGCUAUGUGUGCAUGAGCCUACAGUAAUACAAGUGACCUAUGGCCCAGACUUUGACCCUGGAUGAAGCAGAGUUUAACCUGGAGUGUUUUUGCAAAUUUGUAUCCCUAUAGGCAGUAGCAGCUAGAGCAUAACAGCUGUUGGGCCAUGGGAAGCAUCUCUUCCCUAUCUAUUUUGGAAACCAAUUAAGAUACAAUUAACUUUUGUCCAUGCUUUUGAUAGUAUACAACAGACCUAAAAACAGGUCUAGAUGUAAUUAAGUGUAAGGUUUUAUAUACCGAUAUAACCUUUCCCUUCCCAUACUUUUUAACCCUCAAUACCUCCCCCACCCCUUUUGUUUUUUUAACUCCAGUGGCUGGUUUGAGUACAAGUAUCAUUUGUACAUUAGGCCAUUUAUAAAGCUUGCUACCCAGUUAGCAGGCAUAAGGAAAAAGCUAGAUUUUGGUUUUCAGCAGUCAUUCUGACACCAUUCUGAGUCCUAAAACUACAUACAAUUUUAAAUAAGUUUAAGCCAGUUUCCCCCAAAAAAUAAAAGACAUUUGAUUAUUAUUUUUUAAGAUAUUAAUUUUUACUUUUAACCUGUCCUGGUAUCUGUAUACUACUAGGAAUUUAAAAAUGAUUCAUUCUAUAUUAUGUCCAUAAAGUAGUUAUAAAUAUUGACUAGUCUCAAAGUGUUUAAAAAAAAUUAAAUGUACCAUGCUAAUGACUGUGCGAUUAAGUAAUUUGCCUACCUCUUACACAGAUUUUAAGUAUGCAUGUUAAUCAUCACUCUAUUAUCUAUUUAGAAAUCACUGCCAUCACUUAUUAACGUAUGAUGUACAAAAUAAAUGUAGAUCAUUUCA